GGCUAUGGCAAUAGGAUCCUCAUAUAGUGGAACUUGAUCGAAGCCCAUGGAGAUAGAAAUCACAUCAACACCAUCAGCAACAGCUUGGUCCAUACCAGCAAGAACAUCAGAGGCAUAGCGACCCUCUCUCCACAGGACCUUAUACAUGGCUACUCUAGCUCGUGGUGCCAUACCUCUGGCUGUGCCUGUAGCAUAGCCAAAGAAUGUUGCAUCUUCAACAUAGUUCCCUGCAGCUGUGGAGGAAGUGUGGGUCCCGUGCCCACCAAUGUCCCUUGGAGAGUUCAUUACAAUUUUAAUCCCAGGAUUAGCAGCUAAAACACCUUUGUUGAAAUAUCUAGCUCCAAUCAGCUUUGAAUUGCACAUGGAGGAAUUGAACUGUUCUCCUUCUUCACAAAUUCCCUUCCAUCUGGAAGGUACUGCAGUCAUACCAUCAUCUCUGUAGCUCUUGCUCUCCGGCCAGACGCCACUGUCGAUGACUCCAAUAAUAAUAUCUUCACCGAAUUUGGAAGCAGGCCAUAGGCCGGUGAAUGGAUUGAGGGAAAGAAAUUGGUAAGUGUGGGUGGUGUCCACUGUGGCCAUCUUGUCUGUGUAAGCAGAAACAAAACCCGGGGAAUUUCUAAGAGUUUGAAGUUGAGUAGAAGAUAAAACAGCAGCAAAACCAUGAGCAACGUUAUCAUAAGAGUAGACAAAUGAUGGUGGGAGAUUUAUAUGAUCACCGUGUGAUGAGGAGACGUGAUUGUUUUUGGUAGAUUCGAGGGAAUCACAUGUUGAGGAGUACCAAUCUUGAUGGGUACUGAAGGUUUUGGGCAUCAGAGACUUGUCCAUAUGAACAAUAUAUGUGGCCCUGUCUACUGAAGUUGAGGUUGCAGCAUGAGUGCCGAAGAAAAAAUGGCUGGCAAGAAAGACCAGGAAAAGGGGAAGCAUCUUCAUUUCUUUUUUGGCUAUCUCUGAAGAAUUUGC
rnacentral:misc_RNA from 1 species